ensembl:lncRNA
AUGGUGACACUGACUUUCCUUUUCACAGAUAAUGAAAUGCAGAAAAUAGCUUACAUGGGGAAAACACAAGAUCACUCACAAUCAGUUUGCGGCUUUUCUCUGGAGAAACCUUUCCUUGCAUCUUUUGCAAUCCGCUCCAGCUCCUGGCGACGUGUCCUGCACUAUCAGAUAUCAUAUGACUCUUUAUUUGGACUCCCGUUAGCAGUAUGGGCCUGUUAGGAGGCUGUUUGUUUUCUUUUCCUUUCAUUUCCUUCUCCUUAGUUCCCCUCUAUUUUAUGUGUGCCCGUGUGAGCGUAUCCCCUUUAUAAUCUCUAUUUUUGUGCUGAAGCUUUAUAGAACAGAAAAAAAAAAAACUUAAUCAUUUCCCAGGGCUGUUUUUAAUCCUCUGCCAAAAUUGAAGUUCAUUGUCAAGUUGUAAAAAUAAAUAACACCUUUCAGCUUUAUUUCUCUCUUUUGCUUCUUCCUGUGCCCUUCCUGGCACUUCUCAGUGUGUCCGUAUGUACCCGUACGUGUCUCCCUGCCUCUCCUGCCUCAGUGGGUGAAGUUGGGAUACACCUGUGUCAGUCUAAGGAGGAGUACAGAGCUGCCUGCUGCAGCUCCUGCCGCUCCCUGCUGUUCCUUUCACUUUCAUCAACUUCCCUCUGUUUAUUUAUUUAUUUCAUUUGGGCACCUUCUCCACACCAAGUUUGAAAAGCUGUCAGGCAGCGAUCCCUAUGCUGGGCUUUUCUGCAUUUAGGUGAGCAAAUGGGGGAAGUUAAGGCUGUAAGAAAGUGAAACGUUGUGCUGAAGGGAGAGAGGAUGAAGUGCAAGUUGGAAAUUAGACAUGCUUUGUGUACGCCGCCCAUAAAAGUUUCCUGCACCCUUCCCUCUGUUUAUUUAUUUAUUUCAUUUGGGCACCUUCUCCACACCGAGUUUGAAAAGCUGUCGGGCAGCAAUCCCUAUGCUGGGCUUUUCUGCAUUUAGGUGAGCAAAUGGGGGAAGUUAAGGCUGUAAGAAAGUGAAACGUUGUGCUGAAGGGAGAGAGGAUGAAGUGCAAGUUGGAAAUUAGACAUGCUUUGUGUACGCCGCCCAUAAAAGUUUCCUGCACCAGAACUCUGGUGCCUAAUAAUAGGAUGGGGGGAGCCAGACAGCAGCUAACAAUUGGAGGUGUGUAGCAAAGUAGCCUUAUGGCAGCAGCAUUUCUGAUACUGAGUCACAUUUUAGUUAAGGGAGAUGAUAUUUUUUCCGUUUGUGCUGUCUUUAGUAUUACGUUAUUUAGACAAACACCGCUGCAAAACUUUUUUGUCUGAAAAUGCUAAGUCACGUCAACAGAAACACUGAAUUGAAAUCAAAUUUACCAAAUCAUUGCAAGGAAAAGGGUCUGCAUUUCCAAAAGAGAGGUAAUGUUUUGUUUUGAUACUUUGCUAUGCAAUGUUUUAAUUUCUCUUUGUGAACUAAGGAUUUCUAUUGAGAAUUGUUAAGAAUUGAUUUUUAAAGGUGGGGGGAAGAAAAAUCCUUAAAACAUUCCAAAAUGAGAUGUUUUGAAGGGAGGAGAUUUAAGUUUUACCAGAGGAAUUUAAAGUGUUCAGGUUUUUGUUCGUUUGAUUCAGUUUUUUUCAACUUGAAUCGUAAUAUACUUUGUCAAGCAAACCAGUAAAUGAGCUUUUUACACAAAUUUGUUCCCUCUGUAAUUAUUGCUGUGUUUUUAUGGAACUUGGUGUUUUAUUUCUCCAAAUUUGGUAAGAUCAGCAAAGCCGAAAUCCUGUUUGCACUGUAGAGACACAAAGGAGUUACUGAUACUUUCUGUCAGAGGUAGGUGCUUUGGGCAGCCAGUCCUUCUACCAAGUUGUGCUGCUCAGCAGCGACUGCGCACGGGCCGAUCGCCACACUCCGGGGGAAAAUAUGGACACAUUUUGGUGUGUGAUUUAUAUACGUUUUGGGCUGAUAUUCCUAUUAACACAGCUCAAGAACUGUAAGUUUUAGUCUUUCCUCUCUAGUGUAUACUUAGACUAGUGUACAAAAGCAAUCUUGUAAGUGAGGCAAAUACAGACCAGAGGUUUUUUUUGUUAAGAAUCCAGAAACAACUGCAUUUCAGCUGUACUGUAGGUGUGUAAAUUGAGGUUGCCCUGCUAGUUGGUGUUGUUUCUUACUUCUUAUCUAAGACACCUUCCCAUUCAAGUCAGUGCAGGUUUUCCUGAGAAAAGGUAUUGAAAAACAGAGCUAGAAGAUCAGGAUUUACGGUGAUCCCCUUGAAUCAGUGUUGGAAACCAGAAACCCAAGAGUGUGUGCUUGCACAGCACAGCAUCCCUCUGGAGCCUGCAGGGUGCACUUGCUUUAGUGAAGGUGCUAGAGCUGAGUUGAGCUGACUCCUGCAGUCUGAAACUUUAUUUAUAUAUGCCUCCAGCUCCUUCAGAUAAAUACUAGUGUCUGCUUUGCUCUCAACAGCACAUAAUUUCUUUUUUUUUUAGUUUUUGCCAGUUGUCCCAAUGCGGAAUAAGAGACUCUUUGACCAGAGACAUUUUCAGGCUUCUUUCCUUUUCUCUCUUCCUUGACCAACUUAAAACCAGCUUUGCUUUAACGUUUCAUGCUUAGGCACGUGCAUGCUCGUGAGGAAGCAAUUACAGACUUUGUUGGAAGAAAUCUGCAGUAAGUGUUACGAAUGUUUAAGAAUUGUGUGCUUUGCAUGCACGGUACAUAAUGUUCCCUGGUACUCUAUGCAUGCUCCUGUGCUCUGAGCAGUCCUAGCUGUGGGUAUUGUAUUUAUUUGUCAGCUCAUUCUGGUAGCCACCCAUGAAUUUAGUUGACAAUCAGUAAACAGUUCCACAAUAAGGCUGGAGUUUGAGAGUAAUAUAAGUGGGAAUUAAAAGGCUUCUUUCAAGUUUUGGCCAUUUCAAUGGAUUGUUGCUCAGCAUCUUUAUUUAUAUGAAAAAAAACGUGCUCUUCAGAUUUCUUCAACAUCAUCUCUGCGGAGUAGAUUCUUUCAUUUCAAAGAUGUUACACACUCAAAUAAUCAUAAAAGGCGUAUUUAGCUACCUCACAAAGUAAAUUUAGCAAAGAGGUGCAGAAAGCUGAAAGCCAAGUGCUGCAGCUAAUGCCUGAAAGUGGUGCUCUGGGCUGGGCAGAGAAGGGCAGGCUCACCGCUGCUGAAGUUUUGUUAGCAUAACUUGGACUUGGUGGAAUUGCACCAAAGUUGUGUUUUGACUUGGCUUAACUUCACUCUUUCAUCUGACUUUCUUUCUAAGCCAGCCCAAUCCAGAUCUGUUCAGUGCUCGGGAGGGUGAUAGCCAAGGGACAAAACAGCUUGUCUAACACAUGUCUCUUUAGUGCACCAGUGUGUAGCUCGUGAGGCCUCAGACUGGAUCACCACUGUCAAGAGAAAUGUGUUUUCCUACAGCGUAAUAAGUUGUCCUGCUGCUUUCAGAUGUCAGAGAUCCCCAGUUCAGCACUUGGUGAAAAGGUCUGCUCUCAGAAGAGGUUUCCCUCCCAUUUAACAUUUCAUUAGUGCAUGCAAAUGUGAUGUGGCCAGUAGGAGCAACAAAUUCUGGUUUAUUUUUGCCAGAAUAUAUGUAUAUAUUCUAUGUCUGUAUUAAUGUUAUGGUGAGAUGGUAUUUCAACCUAAACACCAAUUUCAGUGGCUUACCGCUAAAAAGUGAGCUGAGUCGAAAUGUCAAGUAGCUGUUCCAAGCUCAGAGGUGAAGCUUAUAUUGUUUUGGAAAGUAUGAGGAAAGUCAUGGUUACUUUUUUUUCUCUUUUUUAUUUUUUGAUGUGUUGGGCAGCCAUUCUAAGACAGUAACAUUUUCUGAUUAACUAAUUACUGAAACCCAUUAAUUUUUCCAUUCUUAUUCUAUUUUUAAUUUUUCUUACUUCUUCAAUACAAAAUGAAAAUUAUAAAGAGCUAAUUUCCU